CCUCCAGGCUGUCAGCUGCAAGGGCAGAUCUCAGCUUCUCUUUUCUGAGCAUCAAUCUCUCCAUGUGAACACGGAAGACCCCUGGCUGACAUGCUUAGAUUCUGAAGAUUGAGGCUAAUUAACUGCAUGUUGAUCCUUGACCCAAUGAAUGGAAACCUUGAGGUGCCAUGCUGAUGAUAUCUUGGAACAAAGACAUCAUAUUCUUGACCACUUCUCAUACCUGAAUCUCCAAUGUACUCUCAUGGUCAGUAGGAAGGCU
rnacentral:lncRNA from 1 species